rnacentral:tRNA from 1 species
GUGGGUAUAACUCAAUCUGGUAGAGUAUUAGAUUGUGGUUCUAACAGUUGUGAGUUCAAAUCUCAUUAUUCAUC